rnacentral:rRNA from 1 species
CCCUUAGAUGUUCUGGGCCGCACGCGCGCUACACUGAGUGGAUCAGCGGGUCAGGUUGCGCGAAAGCGUUUCCUAAUCUUUAAAUCCGCUCGUGAUGGGGAUUGACGGUUGCAAUUUUCUGUCAUGAACGAGGAAUACCUUGUAAGCGCGGGUCAUCAUCCCGCGCUGAAUACGUCCCUGCCCUUUGUACACACCGCCCGUCGCUCCUACCGAUUGAGUGGUCUGGUGAGGCUUUGGGAUCUGAGCGGAAAGAGCGUUUCGCUGUUUCUGCUCGGAAAACUCAGUCGAACCUUAUCAUUUAGAGGAAGGAGAAGUCGUAACA